ACAAUCAUAUUUUCUCUUUAUCAUGAAACAUUUUAUUAUGACAAUUAAUGUUGCAGCUGAGUGGUCUCCUUAAAAUGACUAAUUUUUAUGAAUAGUAUAUUACCUGUAUAUGAGAUUUCUACUAUAAUUUGAUUUGCUUACCUAUACCUAGUCUCGAGAUUCAUUUUAUUUGUAUAAUAAAUGAAAGCAGCAGAUGUAUAGCACUUUGGCUUAUUUGUAAUACAGAUCAGAUAAGUGUUUGUGGGAAACGAGAGGCAUAAAACAAGCUUUAAAAAAUGCAGUCUGUUAUAUGGAAGUUACAAACUACAGUUUCAUUAAGGAUAGUAACUCUGAAUUUGUGCACUGUGAGGAACAAGAAUUUUUAUAAGUGAAAUAGUAAUGGCUUUUUUGAUGUGUUCCCUGGAAAGAAUGGUGAGUCAUAAUUUUUCAAUUGAUUAAACUCUAAUUCAGUGUUUCUAGUACUUUUUACUAAUAAUAUUACAACCAAAAUAAAAUAAGUGCGCAGUAGAACUCAUUUCUUCUGUUGUGGCUCUCUAAAAGAGGUCUGAGCAAACCCUAAUUGUCCUCAUCCUGCAGUGAAUUGUACAACAGAUGCAGUUUUAAAGUUUUGGUUCUUGGCGUGAAUUUUUCACCUUUUAUUCCAGUAUUAGCCUUUUGUUUGAAGCACCUAAUGUUAAGUGGCAUCAGUGUGUAUUUCUAAAAGACAUAAUUAGAGUCUCUCUUUUUUACUCCUAAAGGAAAAAAGCAAGGUCAGCAUUGACUUUUUGCAGCUCCUUCUCCGGGUGUUCUUUGAAUGCAACUGGGCUUGGUUAGGUCAAAGUCAACAGUAUUUGUUUCUUUUUCUUUUUGGCUGAAAUUUAAUAUUAAUAAUAUAAUUAAAUAUUUUGGAUUAAAAAGCCCUUGUGAGAACAUCUUUCAGGUAGUACUCAAGUGAUUCCUUCCAUAUUCUUGAUAGUUGUAGUGCUGAUAAACAAAAAACACUUUUCUGUAAGCUUUUCAUUUAAUUUAUAUUUAACCAUGAAGAAGGUGCUUAUAAUGUGGACACCAAAAGAAAUAGGGAGCAAAUGCAUGGUCUCAGUUGAUGUAUUAGAAAUCUUUUGAUGGCUUUCUAUCAUUACUUAUGUCAAAACACCUGAGAUCAUUAACUUCUAAAGGGACCAGUUUCAUUUGGCUCAGUUUCAGUUUGUGAUUAGGCAGAUCUGUCACUUUCAGCCUCUGGUGACUAGUAGUGGCAGGAAACAUGCCACAAAGCAAACCUCUUACUUUGUGGUCAGAAUUCACAAGAGAACUAGGAAGAUGCCAAUCGAAUCCAUUCAGGUGCCUAAAGAAAGAGUCCCUGUCCCUUAGGCCUCACCUCCGAAAGAUUCCACCACCUUUCAAUUAUGCUAUUCUGGGGACCAAGCUUCCAACACCUGGACUUCUAGGGGAUAGGAAUUUAAAUCAUGAAACAUCUUCUAGAGGAGUAAUUUUACAUUAGUUUUGCAAGGUGAUUUUAACUAUCAAAACCAAGAUAGGUAAAAACAGCCACAGCCAGGAGAAACCUAAGGAGAUACGAUGGCAUGUGGUAUACCUUGGUGUAGAUGAGAUACUGAUACAGAAAAAAAAAGGAUAUUUAAGUAAAAAUUAAGGAAAUCGAACUAAAUAAUAGACAUGAUUUAGUACCCAUUUAUCCCUGUAGGUUCAUUUAUUGUAACAGAUGUGCCAUUUUAACUUCAUCAAGGAACGAAGUACAUGCUAUGUUGAAACCUGUACGUUGUUUUAUGUAUGGCUUUCAUCCUCCUGAAAACCUAAAAUUAUU
rnacentral:lncRNA from 1 species